rnacentral:rRNA from 1 species
ACUCCUACGGAAGGCAGCAGUGGGGAAUAUUGGACAAUGGGCGAAAGCCUGAUCCAGCCAUGCCGCGUGAGUGAUGAAAGGCCUUCGGGUCGUAAAAGCUCUGUGGGGGAGGGACGAAAAAAGCGUGACCUAAUACGUCUCGCCUUGACGGUACCUCCUUUAGCAAGCACCGGCUAACUCCGUGCCAGCAGCCGCGGUAAU